CCACCUCACAAGCCAUUCAAGUUUUCCUAUAAUACAAAAGUCUGAGGCCAAUUCCAAAUAUCAUUCCACAUCCAUAUCCUAUAACCACUGGUUCCCAUCCAAAUCCAAAUCUCUCUUCUCCCAAUAAGCUCGGAGAAGAUGGAGGUUUUUGUUCAGUGUUGUUGCAACUCAUUGACAAUGGGAACCCACAUAAUCCCGAGUUUCCUAGGUAGGAGUCAUUUGAAAAAGUCGCAAACUGUUUUCCUUGAGGUAUUUCUCCCACAAGCUGGUUAUUGGAAAGAUUCAGGACUUCAAGAUAGUUCAGAUUGGUUAAUUCUGUUGGAAUCCUACCAGUAAACAUAUUUGAGGAGAGAUCCAUUGAUUCUAAAUUUGUCAAAUAUCCAAUGGAUUUGGGAAUAAGACCACUUAAUCUGUUAUGGGAAAAAUUGAGUCCUCUAAGAGCAUGAAGCUCUCCAAUUACAUAUGGAAUUUGUCCUUGAAAUUUGUUUUGGGAUAAAUCAAUGGUUACAAAGUUUUUCGGAAUUUGUUUCAAUGUCAUACUUAUCGCUUUUGUUGUUACAGUUACAUAUCCAAUUGUACCUCUUUGGGACCCAUUAUAUGGCAUAUAUGUAAUGCCAAUGUAUAGCUCAUCCCCUUCAUAUGAAAUGACAUUCUUCAUGGCUUUAAAAUUUUGUAUAUAGGUUUUUGGUAUUGGACCAUUGAAAUAGUUGGAUGAGAUAUCAAAAAUAACUAUACUUGAAAAUUCAUACUGCGUCUCUAAAUCGUCAAUGGGACCGUACAAUUUGUUGGAUCGCAAAACCAAUACUGUCAACAUUGGUAGAGUUUGAAGCCAAUGGGGAAAUUUAUCCUCAAUUUGAUUGUUGCCAAGAUUCAAGAUCUCCAACUGUGUGCAAUUGGACAAAGAUUUUGGCAAAGGACCUUCCAAUUGGUUGUCAUUAACAUUAAAAUAAGCGAGCUCACUAUUCAUUGAGAAGUUAUUUGGUAAAGUGCCAUUUAGUUUGUUCCUCUGUAGAUCCAAAAUAUAAAGGCCCCACAAGUUUGCAAGGCAUGGUGGAAUGACGCCUGUCAACUUAUUGUGGGACAAGAUGAGAACUUGAAGAUUACUUGCAUUACAAAUUGAGGAAGACAUGUCACCAGUGAGUAAAUUGAAACUAAUAUCAAGGAUAUUGAGGUUGUAGUUCCUUGAGAAUUGGUUUAUUGGAGUUGUCAACAAGUUGUGGGAUAGGCUCAAAAAUUGUAAUGAACCCAUUUCAUGUAACCACUUGGGCAUUGUUCCAUUCAAUUUGUUGUUGGAUAGAUCAAGCUCUAUCAAAAUUGGGAUUUUUCCUAGUAAUUUUGGAAAUUCAGUUAAACCCACAGAAGAUAAAUACAAUCUCUCUAAGAGAGGAGCAUUGGUGAAAAUUGUAUAGUUAUGAAGACCAUUGAAGUUGUUUGAUGAUAGACAUAAGUGAGUUAGGUUUACAAGGGUGAAGACUGAUUGUGGAAUAUUGCCAUGUAGCUUGUUGUAGCACAAAUAUAGAGACUUCAAGGAUUGAGAUGAGAUUGAAGGUAUAUGGCCUGUGAACUGAUUCUCUGAUAGAUCCAAUUCUUGCAAAAAUGGCAAAGAUAAACACCAAGUAGGAAUUGUCCCAUUUAGUAAGUUGUCUGUGAAGAAUAAAAAAGUUAGAUUUGAAAGCCCUGUUAUUUUGUUUGGUAGAGGGCCCUCCAAUCUAUUCUCUGAAAGAUCCAAGUGAAGAAGAUGUUGAAGAUUUGAAAGUGAGGAUGGAAUUUGGCCACUGAAUCGAUUGUAUCCAAGAUCCAAAAAUGUAAGAUGUGGAAGGGUUAAGAUUGAGGAUGGGAUUGAACCCUUGAGAUAGUUACUUGAGAGAUCGAGGAACGUAAUAUGUGUGAAGUUGGAGAAAGAGGCAGGGAUUGUCCCCUCCAACAUGUUCCUUGAAAGAUCCAACAUAGUGAGAGAAGCAGCACUGCAACUCAAGUUAGGAAACUGCUCAAGACUAUUAUCUGACAACCAUAAGUGUUUAAGUUUUGGUAAACAUAAGAUGUCAGUUUUCAAGUUUUCCUGAACUCCGGUGUAUUUAAGACUAAGAUUAACCAAAGAGGUAGAUAGAUUGAGUGACCUCAUCGAACUAAAAGUCAUAUUUACACCAUCCAAAAUAAGCUCCGCUAAAACUGUUGCAUUUUGAAGGAACUUCUUCCAACUGUUUUCUUUCCACAUUAACCUAGUAAAAGAGAGAUCAAGUGAUUCCAAUUUGGAAAGUUGUGAGAUUUGGGAGGGAAUUUCACUUCGAAAUUCAUAGUUAGAUAUAUUGAGGUGUGUGAGGUUCACAUACCCAACAGAAGGAAAUGAUAAUUGAGAGGAGUAAAAGUAAUUGAAAGUAAGAUUAAGUGAUUGAAGAUGAGAAAGACGGAAAAGAGAAGUGUUUGGAUGGAUUUCACCUGAAAGACGAUUGCAAGCGAGGUCAAGGCCUAUGACGUGACCAGAGAUGGGAUGGCAAAGAACCCCAGACCAUGAACAACAAUCUGUUCCAUUUUCCCAGGUUGACAUCUUUGGAACAAAAUUAUCACAAUCAGAAUAAUAAUAGUCAUGAACAUAAGCAAGAGAGUUCUUGAAUUGGAGCAACGCAAUUUUGUCGUGAAGAUGACAUAAGGAAUGAGAGAAUGAGAAGAGAAAGAGAAACCAAUGGGAACAUAAAAGAAGAAACCAACCCACCCAUGACUCCAUUUGAAAGUGUAUUUAAUGAAAAGUGUUAAGUGUGAUUUAAUUAAAGGAAUGAAAGAUGAAGAUUUAUAGCCAAAAUAAAAUAGGAUAUGAAGAUGAACACGGCAUCACUCAGCUUAUAAUAUUUUCAUUAAUGUUUCAAUUUCCAAAUUGCCUUGAAAGACGGGGCAUAUGGGUUGAUUUUCAUCUUCAAAUAAUGUAUUAUACUUUUCCACCAAAAUGGAAUUGACUUUAAGUCAAUGCCCCAAAAAUUGGGACUUGGGUUUACUAUUCUUCGUGUUUCGUGUUUCUUGGGUUUAACGGUAAAAAGUGGAAUUAAGUAAAUAUUGUAUUCUUCCUUACAAUCUUUAUCGUGAACAAAAUGCUAUUAUUUUUAUCUUUUAGAUACAUUUUCUAUUUCUUUUUGUAGCAUUUUUUAAUUUUUUUCAUAUUUUUUUCAUCUGCUAACCAUAUAAAGAAUACCAUUUUAAAACAAAAUUAAAGAUAUUGAUUUUAUUUUAUUUUCUUAGUAUAGUUUUCUAGGUUAUAAUGUGUAUUUUAGUUGAGUGUGUAGACUCAAACGCUUUAAUUUUAAUUCAUACAUCACAAUGAAUUUUUAAUGAGACCUUUAAUUAGUUAGCCUUUUGUGUUAAUGGUUUCAUUUAUCUGAAAAUUUAAAAAAUGAAUUAGUUAAAAAUAACACUACAUAUUAAAGAACUUUUACUUGGAGAGUUGAAAUUGAUGGUAUGAUAGAUAGAAAAAUAAACACUACAUUAGAAAACUUAUAUUUAAAAAUAUACAACAACUUUUAAUUUAACCAAUAGUGACAAUUUAAUUCAAUAUUUUUUAGUGCUUAUGAUCUAUCUUUUAUCUUUCUAUUCAAGAAUUUCAAGUUUCAGACUGAAUUGCAGGUAAAUGUUUAGUAUCUUUGGAAGGCUGAAAUAAAUGUUAAGAGUUAAAGUACUAACUAUUUUUUAAAAUAGCUUGUGAUUCUUAUAAUUUUUUUUUAUAAAUUUGAUGAUUAUGAAUUUUUUAAUAUAGGUUUAUUUUAUUUUAAAUAUAUAAGUAAUGUAUUUAUAUUAAAAUUUUGUGGUGAUAUUUAUAUUAACAUGUUUUUGUUAGUUUAAGACUAAAAUAAAUGUAAGAGUUUUGGUCUUCUUACCAACUAAAAAAGUAUGAAUAAACGUACUAACAAUUUUUUAUUUCUUUCAUGAUUUCGGAAUUGGAUGGUUUUUUUUUUAAUAUAUGUUUAUUUUGUUUUUAAAAAUAUUUCAAUAAUGUAUAUACAUUAUUGUUGUCUUUAUUAAGACUUUUGUGGAUGAUAUUAAUUUGUUGUUGUGAGUUUGAAACUAAAGAAUAUAUAAAUAUCUUUCAAUAUUGUUUGUGAUUAAAACUCAUACAAAACAAAUAAAAUUUUGUAUAAAUUUAUGUAAAUGUAUACAUAAUUAGUAAUCAUUAAACUCAUUCAAAAAGUCUACUGAUACAUUCACAUUGUAGACAAUAUAAACCUUCAAACAUACAUGCUAAUAUCAUUAUAACAUAAUAUAAAAUAUUUGUUGCCUCUAUUUGGACUUUUGUGGUAGUGUUUAUCCUGACCUACAUGUAUGAGUUGUUUGUGAUUUUUUGCAUUUUUUUAAAAUUCAUGAUUCUUUUAGUUUUUAAUAUAGAUUUAUUUAUUUUAUUUACAAUAUAUUUGCCUUUACUUGAAUUUUUGUGUUAUCAUUGAUUAUGUUAACAAGCUUUAUGAAUUUGAGACUAAAACAAAUGUUAAGAAAUUAGGGUUUUAGUAAAACUGAAGCAUAAGAUAAAAAAAACUAACAAACUAAUUGUUUUUUAAUACUGUUUGUAACAGCGUAAAAAGAUAAAAGCAGAGCCACACCCCUCUCCCCACACAGUGCCUUUUAUUUUCUUUUUCUUUUUCUCUCUUCAUAUUCUUUUCUCUUCCUCUUUUUUAAUUUUCUCUCCCAAUAUUCAUCUAUUUUAGAAUCUAAUCGGACCACGUUGUAGCUGACGAGUUAAGGAACAUUUCUACCCUAUCAGAUUUUCAAACAGAGUAAGUUCAUUUUUGCUCUAAAGUUCCUUUGUUCUUUAUUUUUCCUUAAGAUUUAGUCAUCAAUCUUGGUGGGGUCAGUUGAGAAGUUUAAUCCUCUCAACUUAUUCUACUAUAUACUGAAUUUUUGUUCUGUUUGGAUAACUUGCAUUAGGCCCGUAAAUCUUGAAGUUUAUCGACGGUGGGAAAUAAAAUUCUAAAAGUUGCUUGAGGUAAGGGAAGCUAAAUUUAAUUUUUAAUAGCACCCUAGGAUAGAAGAUAUGAAUGCGAAAAGGACGUGGUCCCAAUAUUCAAUUUUUCUUGCAGGGAUGUUGUGUGUUAUAUAUAUUGGGUUGUUUGUUUAUAUAUUAUUUAAAUUUGUGGAAAUAUUAGGUUUUGAUGAUUUAGUAUUAAAGUGUUAUUUUUUUUAUGUCAAAUAGACUUUUGAAUAUUGUGGAUUACUUUUGAAAUGAUAUUGUAUGACGGAAUGGUAUGGAAUUGAAUUCAUACAUUUGGGAUAAUGUAUGGACUGAUGUUUGUUGUGUAUUAAGUAUUGAUGCCUAUGUGGUAACAGAGAUCUCCGAGCUUCACUGAUGAUCUAAGUCACAUAGAUUAAGACAUCAGGUGGUGAGAAGCUGAUGGGGGAGUUCAUGCACACCGUGACAUAUGAGAUGUACGACUUUGGUUGUAUUGAACUUACCCUGAUCUUUUCUGUUGGAUUCGCUGAUAAUCUUUGGAUCAGGUGUUAGUCUCUGGUAGGACUGACUUAAUACGGAUCUUCCGGAAGACGUUGUUUGUUGAAUAUUCUGGAUGUGUAGAUCCAUGUGAGAUCUAUGUGAUUGUUUUAUGUUGGAAUUUGAAGAAGAUUGAAUAAUUGAGAAAUUGACCAUGUAAUUUGAUUUUCUCUUUUAAUUUAAUUUCAUAUAUUAUAAAAUUUUAUUUUCACUAGCUUACCCUUGCUUUUUGUGUUGUGUUUAAACUGCGAUGACUGUACUAUGUACACGAGCAGAUGACCAUACAGGUGCAGGAAAGUCUUAGAGGUUUCAGAGUUUUAUUUUUAGCUAUGAAUAUGUAAAUAUUUGUAUUUCUAUAAAUCCUAAUAAUGUAUUAGGAAUGUUUUGAAAAACUUCAAAUUUGUAUAGAAAUACGUAGAACUUGUAUUGUAAUAGUUAGAUAUUAUUUUCUGGGGUGUUACACUGUUUAUGUGUUUCUUCCGUUCUUUCAAAUUUGGAUCAUUCUUGAUUUUUUAAUAUAUAUUUAUUUUAUUUUAAAAAUAUCUGAUUAAUGUAUUUAUAUUAUUUUUGUCAUUUUAGGACUUUUGUGUCCAACAUAGGAAUUGAGUUGGAGUCGGUGCCGACAAAAAUGAGAAACAUGCCAGAUAAAUAUUUUAAAUAAACAAAAUGAGUUUAAUAUGACAUCAUUUUGCAGUAAUUAGCUACAAAAUCACUUAUUUUAUCUGUUUAUAAAUAAAAAAAUAAAAAAAUUUCAUGAUAAAAUGCAUGAAUACAUGGAUGAUAAAAUUUGUCAAAUGAUGAUAAUUUAACGGUAAAAUGUGUAAUUUAGUAAAUAUGUUAUUCUUUCUUAUAAUCUUUAUCGUCAACAAAAUGUUAUUAUUUUUAUCUUUUCAAAUACUUUUUCUAUUCUUUUUAGCAUUUUUAAUUUUUUAAUAUUAUUUAUUUAUUUGUCAUCUGUUAAUCAAAUAAAUACUACUAUAGUUAAAAACAAAUAUAGAUAUUGAUUUGAUUAUAAAUUGUUUAAGAAUUAAAAGGUAUUUACCAAACUUGUUGAAGAGAAUCAACUUAAUUAUAAGUACUUAUGUACGAGCUGACAAUAAAAAUAAAUAAAUAAAUAUAUUUACUACAACAUUAUAUUGCCAAUUUGUCUUGUUUUUUUUUAACUUGUACAAUACAUACGUUUAUAACUUGGAGGAUGAAGUAGAUGUAAGAGUUUAGGAUGUUUAUAAAAAUUAAGCAAAAGCAUAAAAAUCUAGAUUUUUAUUGUGAUGUUUAUAUUAACUUUAUCAUGAUAUGUUAAUAAUAUAGUUAUACAUUAUAAUGGUGACUCCAUUAUAAUCACCUCAUAACACCAUUUAAUCUUUUAAGAUAUUUUUAUAACCUUCAGGUUUAGUUCAUCUAUACCAGAAUAUCUAUCAUUCAUUUUCAUUCAAACUUGUAAUAUGUAUAAUAAAAUGUUUGUUUCUUUGGAUAAGAAUUCAAAGUGAAAAAUCAAUAAAUAACUUGAGACAGAAAUUGUGAAUAACGUUGUUUUUUCAUUUGUUAUGCUUUAAACAAUAAAAAGAGUUAUAAUAUAUUUUAGAUAAAUUAAUGUUAAAAAUUUGUAAUUUCUUUUAGAUUUGAUAUGUACUAUCAUUUUAAUAUUACGCUUUGAUUGUUAGGUUAAAUAUGUCAAAAGAAAGUGAGUUUAUUUCUUUCACAAACAAAAUUUGAAGAUGCAGACAAAGGAAAUGUGGCAACAAAAGUAGAACACAUUUAUUUCACAAGUAAACAUUGAUCAAAUCUCUCAUACAAUAUGAUGUGAUAAGAUUCUUGAUUUACAUUGAAAUUAAACAAAAACAAGUGCAUAGAACAUUCUCCACUUAUUUAUUUUGCUACAAUUCUCAUGACUUCUUUUUCCCCAUUAUAUUAAGACCACCUCACAAGCCAUUCAAGCUUUCCUAUAAUACAAAAGUCUGAGGCCAAUUCCAAAUAUCAUUCCACAUCCAUAUCCUAUAACCACUGGUUCCCAUCCAAAUCCAAAUCUCUCUUCUCCCAAUAAGCUCGGAGAAGAUGGAGGGUUUUGUUCAGUGUUGUUGCAAUUCAUUGACAAUGGAAACCCACAUAAUCCCGAGUUUCCUAGGUAGGAGUCAUUUGAAAAAGUCGCAAACUGUUUUCCUUUAGGUAUUUCUCCCACAAGCUGGUUAUUGGAAAGAUUCAAGACUGCUAGAAAGUUCAUAUUGGUUAAUUCUGUUGGAAUCCUACCAGUGAACAUAUUUGAAGAGAGAUCCAAUGAUUCUAAGUUUGUCAAAUAUCCAAUGGAUUUGGGAAUAAGACCACUUAAUCUGUUAUGGGAAAAAUUGAGUCCUCUAAGAGCGUGAAGCUCUCCAAUUACAUAUGGAAUUUGUCCUUCAAAUUUGUUUUGAGAUAAAUCAAUGGUAAAAAAGUUUCUUGGAAUUUUGUGGAGUGUCAUACUUAUCGCUUUUGUUGUUACAGUUACAGAUUCAUACAUAUAUUCAGUUAUAUAUAGAAUCAUAACAUUUAGGGAUGCACUGACUUGAGUAAGUGGUGUGUUCAUGUAGAACUCGCUCCCUUUAUAUUUAAUGACAUUCUUCAUGGCUUUAAAAUUUUGUAUAUAGGUUUUUGGUAUUGGACCAUUGAAAUAGUUGGAUGAGAUAUCAAAAAUAACAAUACUUGAAAACCCAUACUUUGUCUUUAAAUUGGCAAUGGGACCAUAGAAUUUGUUGGCUCGCAAUACCAAUAUUGUCAACUCUGGUAGAGUUUGAACCCAAUGGGGAAAUUUAUCCUCAAUUUGAUUGUUGCCAACAUCCAAGAUCUUCAGUUUUAUGCAAUUAGACAAAGAUUCUGGCAAAAGACCUUCCAAUUGGUUGUUAUUGAGAUUCAAAAUAGUGAGAUAACUAUUCAUUGAAAAGGUAGUUGGUAAAGUGCCAUUUAGUGUGUUAUUUUUUAGAUCCAAAACAAAAAGGAAUUGCAAGUUUACAAGGCAUGAUGGAAUGACGCCUGUCAACUUAUUGUGUGACAAGCUGAGAAUGAUAAGAUUACUUAUUUUACAAAUUGAGGAAGACAUGUCGUCAAUGAGUAAAUUGAAACUAAUAUCAAGGAACCUGAGAUUGUAGUUCCUCGAGAAUUGGUUCAUUGGAGUUGUCAACAAGUUGUGGGAUAGGUUCAGAACUUUUAAUGAAUCGAUUUUAUGUAACCACUCGGGCACUGCUCCAUUCAAUUUGUUGUCAGAUAGAUCGAGCUUUGUUAGCAUUGGGAAUUUUCCUAAUAAUUUUGGAAAUUUAGUUAAACCCACAGAAGAUAAAUACAAUCUCUCUAAGCGAGGGGUGUUGGUGAAGAAUGAAGAGUUAUGAAAAUUACUGAAGUUGUUUGAUGAUAGACAUAAGUGAGUUAGGUUUACAAGGGUGAAGACUGAUUGUGGAAUAUAUCCAUGUAGCUUGUUGUAGCACAAAUAUAAAGACUCCAAGGAUUGAGAUGAGAUUGAAGGUAUAUGUCCAGUGAACUGAUUAUCUGAUAGAUCCAGUUCUUUCAAAAAUGGCAAAGAUAAACACCAAGCAGGAAUUGUCCCAUUUAGUAAGUUAUCAUUGAAGGAUAAAAAAGUUAGGUUUGAAAGCCCUGUUAUUUUGUUGGGUAGAGGACCCUCCAAUCUAUUCUCUGAAAGAUCCAAGUGAAGAAGAUGUUGAAGAUUUGAAAGUGAGGAUGGAAUUUGGCCAUAGAAUUGAUUGUAUCGAAGAUCCAAAACAGUUAAAUAUGGAAGGGUUAAGAUUGAGGAUGAGAUUGAAUCUUUGAGAUAGUUACUUGAGAGAUUGAGGGAAGUAAGAUGUGUGAAGUUGGAGAAAGAGGCAGGGAUUGUCCCCUCCAACAUGUUCCAUGAAAGAUCCAACAUAGUGAGAGAAGCAGCACUGCAACUCAAGUUCGGAAAAUACUCAACACUAUUCUCUGACAAGCAUAAGUGUUUAAGUUUUGGUAAACAAAAGAUGUCAGUUUUCAAAUUUUGUCGAACUCCAGUGCCUCUAAGACUAAGACUAACCAAAGAGGUAGACAAAUUGAGCUGACUCAUCGAACUAGAAGUCAUAUUUACCUUAUCCAAAAUAAGCUCCCUUAAAACUGUUGUAUUUUGGAGGAACUUCUUCCAAUUGCUCUCUUCCCACGUUAACAAAGUAUCAGAGAGAUCAAGUGAUUCUAAUUUGGAAAGUUGUGAGAUCUGGGAAGGAAUUUCACCUCGAAAGAGAAAAUCACCAGACAAAUUGAGGUGUGUGAGGCUCACAAACCCACCAAAAGGAAAUGAUAAUUGAGAGGAGAAAUAAUUGAAAGCAAGAUUAAGUGAUUGAAGAUGAGAAAGACGAAAAAGUGAAGUGUUUGGAAUGAUUUCACCUAAAAGACCACUGCAGGUGAGGUCAAGGCCUAUGACGUGACCAGAGAUGGGGUGGCAAGUAACCCCAGACCAUGAGCAACAAUCUGUUCCAUUUUCCCAUGUUCUGGUCUUUGGAACAAGAUUAUCACAACGGAAAUGAUAAUUGUUAUCACUGAAAGAGGUCUUGAAUUGGAGCAAGGCAGUUUUCUCAUGAAGAUGACAUAAGGAAUGGGAGGAUGAGAAGUGAAAGAGCAACAAAUGACAACACAGAAAAAGCAACCACCCCACCCAUGACUCCAUUUGAAGCUGUGUUUAAGGAAAAGGGUUCACUGUGAUUUACUUAGAGCAAUCAAAGAUGAAGAUUUAUAGCCAAAAUAAAAUAGUUUGUCUUCAUUAAUGUUUUCAAUUUCCAAUUUGUCUUGGUCAGUGCCUGCAAAGACGGGGCAUUUGGAAUUGACUUUGGAGUCAAUGCCCCAAACAAUGGGACUUGGGUUUACUAUUCCAACUACAAACAAUAAAGAGAUCACAUGCCAUAUAAAUAUUUUAAAUAAACAAUAUGAGUUUAAUAUCACAUCAUUUUGCAAUAAUUACCUACAAAAUCACUUUUUUACUAAAAUUAAUAAAAUAAAUUUUUUUGAUGAUAAAAUGCAUGGAAAAACAUGGAUAAUAAAAUUUGUAAAAUGAUGAUGAUUUAACGGCAAAAAGUGCAAUUAAGUAAAUAUUUUAUUCUUCCUUAUACUCUUUAUCGUUAAUAAAAUGCUAUAUAUUUUUAGACACAUUUUCUAUUUCUUUUUGUAGCAUUUUUUAUUUAUUUAUUUGUCAUCUGUUAACCAUAUAAAUAAUAGUGUUUAAAAAAAUAAAGAUAUUGAUUUGAUAAUAAAUUGUUUAAGAAUUAAAAGAUAUUUACUAAACUUGUUGAAGAGAAUAAACUUAAUUAUAAAUACUAUGUACGAGGUCAACAAUAAAAAGUUUGCUAUACAGUAAUAAAUAUAUUUUUUAAUUAAUGCCUUGCUAUUAAUUUUUUUUCUUUUCUUUAUUUUCUUAGUAUAGUUUUCUAGGUUAUAACGUGUUUUUUUAGUUGAGUGUGUAGACUCAACGACUUUAAUUUUAAUGCAUUGGGCCCUUUUGACUUUCGUGUGUAAAUUAAUGACUUUUAUGAAAGAUGAAGCUUCAAGAAUUUAGAGAAGGCAAUUAAUUAAUUCAUGUUUUGGCAAUGUUAGGUUAGAGUAGAGAGAAAUAUAGCAUCAUUUUUUUGUCUUGUUCAAUCAGACUUCUGAUACAAAAAUUUAAUGUUAUUUAUGCAAAAAGUGAAUAGAAUCUAUUAAAUUAUUUUUAUCUAAGAACUUCCAAGUAUUUCAUAUGAUUUCUUUACUUCACAAUGAAUUUGUAAUAAGACCUUUAGCCUUUUGUGUUAAUGGUUUCAUUUAUUUCAAAAUUAAAAAAUGAAUUAGUUAAGGUGACUGCAUAAGGAAUAUAAUAAUAAACAAAUUAUAACAAUAAAUUAAUUUAUUGUUUUAAUUGAUUUCAUAGAAUUAGAUUUAUUUGGGUUUUAAUUAUUAUUUUUGUUAAUUUUAUGUUUAUAAAGUAAAUGGUUUAAAAGAAGUGUUUAUCUUUAUUAUUGAGUCAAAUAUGCAAAAGUCUAAGUGGUUUCUUUGAAUUAAAACAGAAAACAAUAUCUAAGGUGAAGAAAGGGGAAAUAAAAUCUACAAUAUCUUCAUAAACAGAAUUGGAAUAAAAUAUUUUGCAAAAUACAAUAAUGAUGUAAAGUUAAAAACGAUUAACAAAAUCUAAAUUACAAUAUUUUUUCAAGAUCCUUGGAGCAUAAAAGCUUAUAAAAAGACACAAGCCUCAAAGAGAGAGGAGAGAACUUCAUAGGAUUUUCUUAGUUUAUUUUCUUCUUUGUAAUUCUUUUGUUUAUUUUACCUCUGCAUGGAAAGUUAAACCUUUUUAGUUGAUUUCUUUGUAAUCCCCAUUGAGUUAUGAUGUUUUCAUCAAUAUAAGUUUCAUUUUUCAAUUCUCUACAACAGUUGUUUUUUAUCUUCUAAUCUACUGAAAAACUGGUUUUUGUUAGAUGUUGUACUUGAACUCAUGAUUGAGAGUUUUCCUUACUUUAAGCUUUGGUUUCUUAAUUAAUUCGCAUUGUUCUAAUUAUUAAAAAAAAAUUACAUGAAAGACAAAAUUAGCUAUAUGAAUAUAAUUCCAGAAUGGGAAUGUGCAAUUUCUUUGAUCGCACAAAGAGUAAAUAUAGUAAAGUUUGAAGACAAAAAGAGCAAAUGUAUCAUCAAUGAGCAAAAGGAAUAUUGCUGUUUUAUAUUUACUUGGAAUUUUUUCUGCAUUUGUUUGAUUUUUCAACAACAGAUUUUUUAAGAUUAAGAAAAUUAUAAUUUUAGUCAUAAUGCACAAUGUCAUUUUCCAUUUGGCUCUUGCAUUAAAAGAAUUAUUGGGACGCAAAUUCUAAUAAUCUUCUAUCAUAAAAUUAAAAAAUGUUACAGGUCAUUGAUUUAAAUUAAAAUAUUUUAUGAACACAACUCAUUUUAAAUUAAGAAUAAGCAUACAUUUAUUUUCACAAAUUACACUUUUCAUGGCUCAACUUUGAGGAACCAAAUGGGUUUAACCUAACUUUUCCCAAAUAAAAAGUUGAUUAUUUCCAAUAGUUUAUAUAUGGAUAACAAUACAAUUCAGAAAGUGAUGCAACAUAUACUUUCUCUUUUUUAAGGAAUAAAUAAAUAACCUUUUUUUUCCAUAGCCACUGCCAUAAGAUGUGUAAGUCACAACUUUUACAUUAUUAUUUUUAAAUUCAAUGCAUUUUGAAAGAGAGAAAAAAAUUGGAGAUUAAUUAUUUUUAUUUUAUUUUUUAACUUCACAUUUUAACACACAUUAUUAUAUUAUUAAAGUGUGUUGUCAAGUGGGUAUAUUUUUUUAGAGAGGUUCCCAAAUAUUAUUUUCCAAGAGAAACUUUGGGAGAGAGGAAAUUAUGAAUGAGAGAUAAGUAGUAUAAGGUUUUUGAAAUAGUAUUGGUCUCAAAAACAGUUUUGAAAUUCCAUGUCACAAAACGACAAUGAUUUACUAGACAAACUAAUAACUUAAUAUGACAAUAAGAGAUUGCACAAACCAACUCAAAUAAGAGAUUCCCAACAUAAGUUUAAAGAUUAAAGAGGACAUUCCACAAACUAGUCCAUAUUUGAAAAAUAAUUUUGAGAGUUGUAUAUUUCAUUAAAAAAUUCCAUUUUUAUUGUAUUUUCUAUAUUUUUUGUUUUCAUGAAAAGAAGUUAUGUUAAGCAAUUAAUUAGUGGUCACCUCCAAAUUUUGAAAUGUAAAAUAGGUUACAAGAAAAUUAGUUUAUUCUUCUCAUAACAAAAUUUGAUUGGAGAGAGAAAGGAAAUGUGACAACAUAAGUAGAACACAUUUAUUUUACAACUAGAUCAAAUCUUUCAUACAAUAUGGUGUGAUAAGAUUCUUGACAUACAUUGAAAUUGAACAAGAACAAAAGCAUGGAACAUUUUCUAGUCAAGCCACAUAUCCACUAAUUUAUUAUGCUACAAUUCUCAUGACUUUCUUUUCACCUUUAUAUUAAGACCACCUCCAACCAUUUUCACAAGUCAUUCAAGCUUUCCUACAAUACAAAAAUCCAAGGCCAAUUCCAAAUAUCAUUCCACAUCCAUAUCCUAUAACCACUGGUUCCCAUCCAAAUCCAAAUCUCUCUUCUCCCCAGAAGCUUGGAAAAGAUGGAGAUUUUUGUUCAGUGUUGUUGCAAUUCAUUGACAAUGGAAAUCCACAUAAUCCCGAGUUUCC
rnacentral:lncRNA from 1 species